ACCCUCCACCCUGGCCACUGCCGCCUUCGCCCCUAACACUCCACUGCAGUCUGCAGCGCCGCCGAGCACCCAACUGACAUAGAUCUAAGCCGCCGCUGACCGGACCUGUGGCCGAGCCACUCCACCGCCGACCACGCUCCUCUGCAGAAUGCUCCAUUGCUACAACUGUACUCCGUGAUCUUCCUCUCCCAAGAAGGACUUGUCACCCCAGCAGCGAACGGGGCCGCCUCCUCCACGUUCUCUCCCCCAUGCAGCGGGAAGUCCGUCCCCUCCCGCGAGAAGCUCUGCCUCCUCAACAUCCUCUCCUGAUGCUGUAAGUUGAUAAGUCUGGCAAAAGAAGCAACGCGACCACAAGCAAGCUGAGGAGUGAAGUAGAUAGGUGCUCGCAUGUUAGUCGCCUUUGAUGACAUUUUGACUUGGUCUUUCCUCUACUUCAAGUACCUCUACUUUGAGCACGUUGCUCAAUCCAAGGCAAGUUCUUUAUCCAAUUUUCUCCUUACAAAUAAUGUCUAAUAUUUUGAACAAUUACACUGUGUUAUCUGUUAUGUGCAUGUGGGGGAGAGGAUGUGUACGGAUCUGACGAGCAGCAAGAUUACAGGGGUGGAUAUAUGUCUGCAGUAGAGUUCCUAUUUGAGCCUAAUGCACUAUGAUGCGGUGGCUAGUACUCUGGUCUGAGUCAUGUUCAGAUAAUUUUAGGGCUUCAGAAUUUUGACAGAAGCAAUGUUGGAUCUGCUGUCACAGAUGUACAUACAGUGUGCUCAACAUUAUAAAGAAAGCCUUGAACACAUCUCAUGAAGGCUUGACAAGAUCUUGAAGUGUUGGAGGUUUGGCAAGAUCUGCAAGGCGUCCAUACUUGGUUUUUUUCUACCCAUUUGGUGUUUGUUUCAGCACAUAAGCUGAUUUGGAUGUGUAGCACAUCUAGAAACAUGUCCAUUUUUUCUUUUGUGGCACAACAUCCUUAAUGCAUCCAGAAACAUGUAUUUGGUCGCUUAUCAAAUGAAGCUUAAGGUUUUGGAUGUGGCUAUUAUGUAACUUUGAUUGAAAAGUAAGUAUAUCUGAGCUGUGA